rnacentral:rRNA from 1 species
GACGGACGCUGGCGGCAUGCCUAAUACAUGCAAGUCGAGCGAACAGAUGAAGUGCUUGCACUUCUGACGUUAGCGGCGAACGGGUGAGUAACACGUAAGGAAUCUACCUAUAAGCGGGGGAUAACAUUCGGAAACGGGUGCUAAUACCGCAUAAUAUCUUCUUCCGCAUGGAAGAAGAUUGAAAGACGGCUCUGCUGUCACUUAUAGAUGACCUUGCGGUGCAUUAGUUAGUUGGUGGGGUAACGGCCUACCAAGACGAUGAUGCAUAGCCGACCUGAGAGGGUGAUCGGCCACAUUGGGACUGAGACACGGCCCAAACUCCUACGGGAGGCAGCAGUAGGGAAGCUUCCGCAAUGGGCGAAAGCCUGACGGAGCAAUGCCGCGUGAGUGAAGAAGGCCUUCGGGUCGUAAAACUCUGUUAUAAGAGAAGAACAAAUUGUAGAGUAACUGCUACAGUCUUGACGGUAUCUUAUCAGAAAGCCACGGCUAACUACGUGCCAGCCGCCGCAGUAA